UACAGAGGGGGCAAGCGUUGUUCGGAAUUACUGGGCGUAAAGGGCGCGUAGGCGGCCUGCUAAGUCGAACGUGAAAUCCCUGGGCUCAACCCAGGAACUGCGUCCGAUACUGGUUGGCUUGAAUCCGGGAGAGGGACGUGGAAUUCCAGGUGUAGCGGUGAAAUGCGUAGAUAUCUGGAGGAACACCGGUGGCGAAGGCGACUACCUGGCCUGUUCUUGACGCUGAGGCGCGAAGGCUAGGGGAGCAAACGGG
rnacentral:rRNA from 1 species